rnacentral:pre_miRNA from 2 species
UUUCGAGUCCAAUACUUCCUAACAUUCGAUAGUAUUUAAAUCACUUAUAUGGAAUGUAAAGAAGUAUGGGGUUUUGAG